AGGUCGAAGCUAGAAUGGGGGCUGGAAAAGGGAUGAGCUGUCUCCUUUACGUAAUUUGAAUUUAACUUUUGAGUGAAAAGGCUCAAAUUAUUUAGUGGGACGAUAAGACCCUAUAAAACUUUAUAUAAGUUUAAUUUGGCUUACAAUUUGAGUGAAAAGUAGCUUUAUUAGGCUUAUAUUUCGUUGGGGAGAUGUAGAUAUAAUGUGUAACUGUCUGUUUAAUUUAAUAAUUAUAAUUAGUGUGUGAUCCUUCUUUGUGGAUUAAAAGUAUAAGUUACUUUAGGGAUAACAGCGUGAUUUUCUUUGAGAGUUCUUAUCGACAAGAGUAGUUGCGACCUCGAUGUUGAAUUAAAAUUUCAGUUAGGUGUAGCCGUCUAGCUGGUAGGUCUGUUCGACCUUUAAAAUUUUACAUGAUUUGAGUUCAAACCGGUGUGAGCCAGGUUGGUUCUAUCUAA
rnacentral:rRNA from 1 species